rnacentral:tRNA from 1 species
UGGGGUGAAGUAUUUAGGUACAUCUUAGUUACAUUAAGAAAGAUCGCUAGUGUGCGACGCCCUGA